rnacentral:rRNA from 1 species
UCCUACGGGAGGCAGCAGUGGGGAAUAUUGGACAAUGGGCGCAAGCCUGAUCCAGCAAUGCUGCGCGUGUGAAGAAGGCCUUCGGGUUGUAAAGCACUUUUAUCAGGAGCGAAAUACUACGGGCUAAUACCCUGUGGGGCUGACGGUACCUGAGGAAUAAGCACCGGCUAACUUCGUGCCAGCAGCCGCGGUAAUACGAAGGGUGCAAGCGUUAAUCGGAAUUACUGGGCGUAAAGCGUGCGUAGGCGGUGAGUUAAGUCUGCUGUGAAAUCCCCGGGCUCAACCUGGGAAUGGCAGUGGAUACUGGCUCGCUAGAGUGUGUCAGAGGAUGGUGGAAUUCCCGGUGUAGCGGUGAAAUGCGUAGAGAUCGGGAGGAACAUCAGUGGCGAAGGCGGCCAUCUGGGACAACACUGACGCUGAGGCACGAAAGCGUGGGGAGCAAACAGGAUUAGAUACCCUGGUAGUCCACGCCCUAAACGAUGCGAACUGGAUGUUGGUCUCAACUCGGAGAUCAGUGUCGAAGCUAACGCGUUAAGUUCGCCGCCUGGGGAGUACGGUCGCAAGACUGAAACUCAAAUGAAUUGACGGA